rnacentral:misc_RNA from 1 species
GCAAACUUGGUCAUUUAGAGGAAGUAAAAGUCGUAACAAGGUCUCCGUUGGUGAACCAGCGGAGGGAUCAUUACAGAGUUGAAAAACUCCCAAAACCAUUGCGAAUUUACCUGUUCCAGUUGCUUCGGCAGGCGAUCCCAGGGCGGGGUCGUGGCCUAAAUGGCGUACAUGUGCGCACUUUAGGUGCCUGCCGAUAGUACUCAAAACUCUGUUUUAGUUGCUGUCUGAGUCUAUAAAACAAAAAUAAGUCAAAACUUUCAACAACGGAUCUCUUGGUUCUGGCAUCGAUGAAGAACGCAGC